ACUACAAGAUCCCAGAUUUCUGCCGCUGGUAGGUCCUCCCUCCUGUGGUCGCGCUCAGCCGCGGAAAUGCGGACGAGGUGGUGCAGCACUGUUUGAGCCAAACCAAUAGAUUAUUUGUUCCUCCAUUCACGACUUUACCUAGGUCUUGGUUGAAUGAUUCGAUUUAUAGAGGCCAUUACACAAGUUCUGUUUUCACAUGAUUUUGCUAGAUCAGAUACAAAUAGAAGAAGUGGUUCAAGCAUUGCAGGAUAACCAUCUGUACGGAUGGUGGAAUUUAAAAUUAUGGGACUUCGUCAUAUUAAUCUCACACCUACUCCUCAACUGAGGAGCAGGUGCCUCACAGGGUUUGUAGCGUUCAUGGAGAUGCAGUUGUUUAUAAUGGAUUUUUAGUUCACCCCCAUGUUAUUUAUGAGACUAUGGAAGAAAUUAACGAACAGACUGAAAGCAU